rnacentral:rRNA from 1 species
GCCAGGGCGGGUGCUAAUACAUGCAAGUCGAGCGGACUGAUGGGAGCUUGCUCCCUGAAGUCAGCGGCGGACGGGUGAGUAACACGUGGGCAACCUGCCUGUAAGACUGGGAUAACUUCGGGAAACCGGAGCUAAUACCGGAUAACACCAAGGACCUCAUGGUCCUUGGUUGAAAGAUGGCUUCGGCUAUCACUUACAGAUGGGCCCGCGGCGCAUUAGCUAGUUGGUGAGGUAACGGCUCACCAAGGCGACGAUGCGUAGCCGACCUGAGAGGGUGAUCGGCCACACUGGGACUGAGACACGGCCCAGACUCCUACGGGAGGCAGCAGUAGGGAAUCUUCCGCAAUGGACGAAAGUCUGACGGAGCAACGCCGCGUGAGUGAUGAAGGCCUUCGGGUCGUAAAACUCUGUUGUUAGGGAAGAACAAGUACCGUUCGAAUAGGGCGGUACCUUGACGGUACCUAACCAGAAAGCCACGGCUAACUACGUGCCAGCAGCCGCGGUAAU